AGUGAACGCUGGCGGUAGGCCUAACACAUGCAAGUCGAACGGCAGCACAGUAAGAGCUUGCUCUUACGGGUGGCGAGUGGCGGACGGGUGAGGAAUACAUCGGAAUCUACUUUUUCGUGGGGGAUAACGUAGGGAAACUUACGCUAAUACCGCAUACGACCUACGGGUGAAAGCAGGGGAUCUUCGGACCUUGCGCGAUUGAAUGCGCCGAUGUCGGAUUAGCUAGUUGGCGGGGUAAAGGCCCACCAAGGCGACGAUCCGUAGCUGGUCUGAGAGGAUGAUCAGCCACACUGGAACUGAGACACGGUCCAGACUCCUACGGGAGGCAGCAGUGGGGAAUAUUGGACAAUGGGCGCAAGCCUGAUCCAGCCAUACCGCGUGGGUGAAGAAGGCCUUCGGGUUGUAAAGCCCUUUUGUGGGGAAAGAAAAGCAGCAGGUUAAUACCCCGCUGUUCUGACGGUACCCAAAGAAUAAGCACCGGCUAACUUCGUG
rnacentral:rRNA from 1 species